AUAGAGUCUCACUCUUUUGCUCUCGUUGGAGUGCUGUGGUACAAUCUUGGCUCACUGCAACCUCCACAGAAUUGGAAAAAACUACUUUAAAUUUCAUAUGGAGCCAAAAAAAAAAAAAAACAGCCUGCAUAUUCAAGACAAUCCUGGGCAAGAAGAACAAAGACAAAGGCCUUUUAAUAGCAAUUCUAGACGAAACUCCAACACAUUUCCCACCUGUAUGAACUCUCGAAGUUCCAAGAGCAACAUCAGUCAGGGGAUUUAUUUUUAAGGCAUGUCCUACA
rnacentral:lncRNA from 1 species